rnacentral:rRNA from 1 species
AGUGGGGAAUAUUGCGCAAUGGGGGAAACCCUGACGCAGCAACGCCGCGUGGAGGAUGAAGGCCUUCGGGUCGUAAACUCCUGUCAGGUGGGACGAAAAAGUGCGGGCGAAAUACCCGUACCCUUGACGGUACCACCAGAGGAAGCCCCGGCUAACUCCGUGCCAGCAGCCGCGGUAAUACGGGGGGGGCAAGCGUUAUUCGGAAUUAUUGGGCGUAAAGGGCGCGCAGGCGGCCUGGCAAGUCAAAGGUGAAAUCCCUCGGCCUAACCGAGGAACUGCCUUUGAAACUGCCUGGCUUGAGGCCGGGAGAGGGUAGUGGAAUUCCCAGUGUAGCGGUGAAAUGCGUAGAUAUUGGGAGGAACACCAGUGGCGAAGGCGACUACCUGGACCGGAUCUGACGCUGAGGCGCGAAAGCGUGGGGAGCAAACAGGAUUAGAUACCCUGGUAGUCCACGCUGUAAACGAUGGGUACUCGGUGCUGCGGAUAUCGACCUCUGCAGCGCCUUAGCUA